rnacentral:rRNA from 1 species
UACGGGGGGGGUUAGCGUUAUCCGGAAUGAUUGGGCGUAAAGGGUCCGUAGGCGGGUUUUGUUUUUUAUUGAAAAAGACUUUAGGUUAUACUAAUUAUUUCUUAUAAUAAACUUUACCUUGAGUUAAGAAUAGGUUAAUAGAAUUUUAUAAAUAGGGACAAAAUCCUAAGAUUUAUGAAGGAAUGCCCGUGGUGAAAACGAUUAUCUAAACUUAUACUGACGUUGAGGGACUAAGGCUUAGGUAGCAAACAGGAUUUGAUACCCUGGUAGUCUUUGCUGUCACAUCUGAGUGUUAAUAUUAGGCUACGCCUGGUAUACAGCUAACGCGUUAAACACUCCGCCUGGGGAGUACGAUCGCAAGAUUGGAACCCAAAGGAAUUGACGGGGGUCUACACAAGUGGUGGAGCAUGUGGUUUAAUGCGAUAAUACGCGCGAAACCUUACCAGUUUUUGUAUAUUACUACUAUUUUUAGAAAUAAAAAUUUUUUAAAAAUUGUAUACUUUUUACAAUUUAUAAAUAAGUAUUACAGGUGUUGCAUGGCUGUCGUCAGUUCGUGCCGUGAGGUGUUUGGUUAAUUCCCUCAACGAACGCAACUCUUAUUUUAUAUUGGAUAUACUUUUAUUAGAAAUAAUAAAAUUCAACUUAUAAAAAACCGCUAUUGGUAAUUUAGAGGAAGAUGAGAAUCACGUCAAGCCCUUAUGGCCCUUAUAAACUGGGCUACACACGUGCUACAAUGGCGGUGACAGUGGGCAGCAAGCACGCGAGUGUGAGCUAAUCUCCAAAAGCCGUCUCAGUUCGGAUUGUUCUCUGCAACUCGAGAGCAUGAAGGCGGAAUCGCUAGUAAUCGCGGAUCAGCAUGCCGCGGUGAAUACGUUCCCAGGCCU